rnacentral:tRNA from 3 species
CGGGAUAUGGCGCAGUUUGGUAGCGCACCUCGUUCGGGACGAGGGGGUCGCAGGUUCAAAUCCUGUUAUCCCGA